rnacentral:rRNA from 1 species
AGUGAACGCUGGCGGUAGGCCUAACACAUGCAAGUCGAACGGCAGCACAGUAAGAGCUUGCUCUUACGGGUGGGGAGUGGCGGACGGGUGAGGAAUACAUCGGAAUCUACUUUUUCGUGGGGGAUAACGUAGGGAAACUUACGCUAAUACCGCAUACGACCUACGGGUGAAAGCAGGGGAUCUUCGGACCUUGCGCGAUUGAAUGAGCCGAUGUCGGAUUAGCUAGUUGGCGGGGUAAAGGCCCACCAAGGCGACGAUCCGUAGCUGGUCUGAGAGGAUGAUCAGCCACACUGGAACUGAGACACGGUCCAGACUCCUACGGGAGGCAGCAGUGGGGAAUAUUGGACAAUGGGCGCAAGCCUGAUCCAGCCAUACCGCGUGGGUGAAGAAGGCCUUCGGGUUGUAAAGCCCUUUUGUUGGGAAAGAAAAGCAGCAGGUUAAUACCCCGCUGUUCUGACGGUACCCAAAGAAUAAGCACCGGCUAACUUCGU